rnacentral:rRNA from 1 species
GAUGAACGCUAGCUACAGGCUUAACACAUGCAAGUCGAGGGGUAACGAGAGGAAAGCUUGCUUUCCUUGUCGACGACCGGCGCACGGGUGAGUAACGCGUAUCCAACCUGCCCCCAACUAGGGAAUAACCUUGCGAAAGUAAGACUAAUACCCUAUAAUUUCCUCAGAUGUCAUCUGACGAGGAAUAAAGAUUUAUCGGUUGUGGAUGGGGAUGUGUCUGAUUAGCUUGUUGGCGGGGUAACGGCCCACCAAGGCAAGGAUCAGUAGGGGUUCUGGGAGGAAGGUCCCCAACAUUGGAGCUGAGACACGGUCCUAACUCCUACGGGAGGCAGCAGUGAGGAAUAUUGGUCAAUGGGCGGAAGCUUGAACCAGCCAAGUAGCGUGCAGGAUGACGGCCCUAUGGGUUGUAAACUGCUUUUAUACAGGAAUAAAGUUAGCCACGUGUGGUUAUUUGUAGGUACUGUAUGAAUAAGGACCGGCUAAUUCCGUGCCAGCAGCCGCCGUAA